UGUUAGGUAUAUAUAUUUUACACUUCUUUCUUAUUCCAGAGAUACUAAAAGCCGAAAAAAAUACUCUUGACUCUAAAGAAUCCUAAAUGGAACUUAUUUUUGAGCAAGUUUUUGCAAAGUUUAAUAAAAAGAUAGGACGAGUUGCUUAAUAAUGCGUUAUAUUGCGAUAAUUUAUUAUCAACUUGUUCAACUGGAUACGUCAAUGGAAGAAAGAUACUAAAAGCCGAAAAAAAGACUCUUGACUCUAAAGAAUCCUAAAUGGAACUUAUUUUUGAGCAAGUUUUUGCAAAGUUUAAUAAAAAGAUAGGACGAGUUGCUUAAUAAUGCGUUAUAUUGCGAUAAUUUAUUAUCAACUUGUUCAACUGGAUACGUCAAUGGAAGAAAGAUACUAAAAGCCGAAAAAUACUCUUGACUCUAAAGAAUCCUAAAUGGAACUUAUUUUUGAGCAAGUUUUUGCAAAG
rnacentral:lncRNA from 1 species